GGUCGCUUAGCUCGAGGGUAGAGCGCACGCUUCGCAUAUCCAGUUGUGUGCGUGAGAUCGUGGGCUCAAUUCCCACAGCGUGUU